GCCGACGUAGCUCAAACGGCAGAGCACCCGCCUUGUAAGCGGGCGGUUACGGGUUCGAUUCCCGUCGUCGGCUCCA
rnacentral:tRNA from 1 species